ensembl:lncRNA
GGCUUCGUUCCCUCUGAGUGUCCGGGGCAGCUGGGGUUGGAUGAACCAGAACAUGGACUCCCAGACGUAGCUGGAACGAGGGUCGGCCGGAUCUGCAGAGUUACUCAGGAGGAGCAGCUCCCUGAGGAAUAAACUACACUUUUUUAUUAGUUUUUUUUAGACAACAUUCACAGUUUGGAUCAGUCAGGAGCUCAGUGGAUUAUUUCUGCAGCUCUGGAGAACUUCUGUGGACAUUUAACUGAAUUUAUGGAUGCUCUAAAUGUUCUGGAAACCACACAUCAGAAGAUGAAGAGAACGACUGACUGAAGUAACAGGAAUAAAACAGAACCCAGCUUCUGUUCCUGACUGGAGGUUGAGGAAGGAUGUCGAGGCCUCCGUCCUCCCAGAACACUCCUCAGUCCUACAGGGUCAGCGACAGAGAUCUGACCGAGAUCGAGCUGCACUCUGUGGACUCCAUCAGCGACCUGCACCGGACACACUACGAACACAGUCACAAAGGGAUGAGACUUCCUCGUCCAGGAUACACUCCGUCUCCCAACGGGAACGUCUUCCUGGCUGACGUGGCAGCUGUCAAUCAGAGAGGACGUCUAAUCAGCAGUCAGUGGCAGAUCCGUCUCCAGGACAUGUUGACUCCAUCGUCCUCCAGAGCGUACAUUAUGGGAUGUGCUCUCAUCACCCUGCUGCUGCUGACGGUGCUGCUCAUCUUCUACUUCAUAGUUCAGGAUGUUAGACAUCAGUACAUCUACCAUAGUGAAGGUCUGGUCUAGACGGAAUAGACGGAACCAUGAAGGUCUGACGUUCUGACUGAAGGAAUCCACAGGAGAGGAAUAUUCCAUCCAGAGCAGCGCUGGAAUCACACAGGAAGGAAAAAGAGAAACCUGUGACAUGAAGAGAAAGUUACAGCAAAGAGCAAAAUAAAUCUGUAAAGACCAGCAGAACAUCUCCAGAACCUGGUGUGCUCCAUGAAGAGACGUCUGGAAUCAGAAAUAAAUGACAGAAAAGAUUUAAAGUUCAGCAGUGAGAGGUUGAGGUUUAAAUCUAGAACUGAGGGACUUCUGAAGUCCAUGGGAUAUAUCUGCAUACAUUUUUAUUAAAAGUAAAAAACUAAUGUUUUUAUGUUCAUUAUAAUCAUGUCUUUACAAUUUAUAUAAUUAUUUAUUAUGGAAACAAUCACUUAUUAAUAAAAAUGACGGGAUAUCACUAAAAUAUCAACUAAAUAACCGUCUGAAUUUAAUACCAACUACCUUCUAAUGAGCUAAACAAUAAUAAAAUGAGCUCAUUCAGAAAUAGUUUGGAUUGUGUUCUUUUAAUAAGUUGAGAUAAUCAUGACACAUAUUUCCUUUUUGUCAAAUUUUAUAUGGAAAAUAACAAUUUAAAUCGCUUUCCACUAAGUUCCUCAUUACAAAAACACCUCUCCAGGAAGUGUGUUAAUUCCAGAUCACAUGACCUGCUCCAUAUGAUGUCAUUUCCUCCUGAAGAAAAGACUGGCCAGACUCCAAGGCUUUCUGACUUAUUUAAUAGAAAGUAGUCAACAGGUUUACUGCAGUAUCUGUAGAAAUCAGUUGUAUAUAUAAUAUUUAGAAGAAUCUUUCUCUAAAAUGCCACGUGGUGUUUGGUUGGUUUUUAGGCCUGAAAACAGCAAAAAUGUCGACUAUGAUACAAAAAGUCCCUCAGUUAUAUACUGACUCUUGCAUUGAGUCCUUGGAGUUGGAUCAGUUCAGUUCAAUUCAGUUUAAUUUAUAUAGCGCCAAUUACAGUCACAUUGUUUCAAGACACUUUACAGAACCCACAUCACAUGAAUACAGUAAAUUAGUGUUAAGAGGUGAUGCAGUUUUAUUGUACCAGAGUGUUCUCUCCUCUGUUGUGUUAAUGAACAGUGUAUCUGAGAAUCUGGGUGAACUCGGUGUUUAUUCCUCAGUGUUUAUUCCUCUUUAUUUGUUCCUCUUUAUUUGUUCUUCUUUAUUUGUUCCAGUCCACCAGGGCGGUCUGAUCUGGACGCUGACUGAAGCCGUGAAGGAGAAAGAAGCAGCGGCCUCUGAAUUAUCGCUGCUGAUCCAAGAACUCCAGACUCUGAGGCUGAACCUGACGUCCAGCAGAGGACGGACAUGAGGACAGGAAACAGACAUGGACUGGACAUAGAAGAUCUCCAUACGGAACGGAGACAUCUUAACCCUUUGAUGCAUAACCUGGGUCAAAAGUGACCCAAAUCCAAUGGAAAAUGAGUAUCUCCUCAUGUGGUCUAUGCAUCAAAGGGUUACAGCAGAUCUGUGGGAGUUCCUGGAUGAAACCAUGUCACUCAGAAGGUUUUUGAAACCUUAGCAAUGGUUUUUAUCCAACACAGUGAGGAUGAGUGUUUUUACUGCUGACAUGUUUCCACUCCGUCUGCAGUCGUCCUCAGAGAAUGAGGACAAGGACAGCUUGGAAUCAGAGACUCUAGAAUGGAAGACAAACCAGACGGGAACAUUCGACUUGUUUGCGUCUCCUAAGAUGUGUCUUUCGGGGAAAAUGUGGGUGAGAGACAAACUGUUGUGUUUCCACGAUGGAACAGGAAGUUCAGAAGCAGGAUCUUGUGUUAAUUAUCUGAUGGAUCGUUUUUCCAACUGUUCAGUUUCUAUCUUUCCAUCUAGACUGCAGACGGAGUGGAAACAUGUCAGCGAGGAAAAAACCAUCACCUUCACUAACUUUAUCAGAUAAAAAGCAACGACAAAAUGAACAUUAUCAAUCUACCGUAUAGUGCCAGGGUGAUUAUAUGAAUGAACAUUAUUAUAUUUAGUGACAUCUCUGGUAUUAAAGCAUGUUAUUAUUACUAAUGUAUGAUUUUAAUUAUUACCAUUGUCUCAUAAAGUGUGUUAUAAACUGUACCAGCUGUUUCUAUCUUGACCCAUAGAUUUUUUUGUUUAUUUGUUGUCGUGUAUUUAACAUGACCACACAAUAUAAAUGUGAUAAACACACUUUUAUUACAUUUUAUCACAUUUAUUAACACAUAUCGGGGUUUCAGCAUGGAUUUUAUAGAACUAAUAGUUAAACAUAGACAGAUUUUUCUCUACUGUCACCAUUUACAUAUUAUGUGUGAUUCUGUCCUAUUUUUUACACAGUUACUUAUUUACUGUCAUUUUUUAAAAGGAAAAAACAGUUUUAUCAGAUUCUAUGUAGAUCCACAUGCAGCUGUUAUGGUCUGUUGUUUUCUGAACAACAGAACAUAACAGCUGUUCAGUUAUUUUCAUAUUUAUCUACAUACUGUAUAUACUCAGAUACUAUUACUAUACUAAUACUACACACUACAGAUGCUUUAUUUUUAUUUUUAUCUGUUUAAAUAUUUAUCUACAUUUUAUAGAUACUUUACUACUUUAUCUCCUCUCUGCUCGGUGAAACAUCAUUAAAGUCAAAUAUUUCCUGAGUUUUUAUCAGAAAACUGCUGGUUGCAGCUGAGGGUGUCCAACAUGAGGCCCGUGGGCCAAAAGUGGUCCUCCAGAGGGUCCAAUCUGGUCCUCAAAGUGGAAAAAUUCCAGAGAAGACAUUAACUGCAGAUUGUAAAUUAGUAAAACUAUAAAUUUAAAAUCAUUUCUAGACCAUGACAAGUUGUUUUGAUCCUCCAGUAAAUCCUCUCUGGUUCAGUUCCAGGUGACUAAAUGUUGUGUUCCUUUGUCGACACUGUGAUCUGGAAGCUGUAAUGUGGAAAUGAUAAACUGAGGCUGAAUGUUGCUGAAACUGAAUUUAUUUUUCAUAAAUUUCAGGUUGUUCUUGAUGUUCAGUAAAAAGAUAAUUCCUUAAAUGUGAACAUUUCUGCACUAAACCAAAGGAACCAUUAGGAGUUGUGGUUAUUUAUAGGUUAUUAUGCUGUGGUUUUACUGGAGAUCAGACUGGACUGAAUUAAACUGGACUAAGAUGAGUUUGACUCUCCUGGUCUAAAGGCUUCAGUGGUUCAGAGCAACACAGAAUUUUUAGUUUAUACAGAAUCAAGCAAACUCUAUAUUUAAAAAAGAGACAUGUAGAAUAAUGUGACUGUGAUGAAACAUCCCAGUUUAAACUUUAUUUUUCCAGAUAAAACUGCAACGUUCUGAUAAAAUCUGAUGAUUCUUUCUGUUCUUAAACGGUGUAAUGAGGAAAGUUUUACGCAAUCAAACGCCUCAAGGGUUUUAAGGUUCAGGGAUGUUUGAGAAAUUUCACCCUUAGUCCUUGGAAGUUAUUGGAUAUUUGUUAAACAGGACAUAAAGUAUGAUGGAAUCAGCUGAAUUUAAAGUCCUGUUCAGGUAAUAAACCUUUAGUGGUAGCAGGAUUUAAAAUGAAGAAGAAACUGAAGGAAACCAGGGAAGGCUGAUCAUUGUUUUACUGACUACAUCUACUAGAAGCAACACUGACGUUAAAUGACUGUUUGAUAAUUAAAAGUUGUGUAAAAAUAAACACGUCAAUGAAAUAU